rnacentral:rRNA from 1 species
AUUGAACGCUGGCGGCAGGCCUAACACAUGCAAGUCGAACGAGUGGCGGACGGGUGAGUAAUGUCUGGGAAACUGCCCGAUGGAGGGGGAUAACUACUGGAAACGGUAGCUAAUACCGCAUACCAUCGGAUGUGCCCAGAUGGGAUUAGCUAGUAGGUGGGGUAACGGCUCACCUAGGCGACGAUCCCUAGCUGGUCUGCGAGGAUGACCAGCAACACUGCAACUGGGACAAGGUCCAGACUCCUACGGGAGGCAGCAGUUGGUAAUAGUGCACAAUGGGCGCAAGCCUGAUGCAGCCCUGCCGCGUGUAUGAAGAAGGCCUUCGGGUUGUAAAGUACUUUCCGCGGGGAGGCGUUACCCGCAGAAGAAGCACCGGCUAACUCCGGGCAAGCAGCCGCGGUAAUAC